GCCUGGCUGGCUCAGUUGGAAGAGCAUGUGGUUCUUGAUCUCGGGGUUGUGAGUUCAAGCCCCACGUUGGGUU
rnacentral:tRNA from 1 species